AUGGCCAGUGUGGGGAAAACAACCCUUGCCAGCCUUGUUUAUGGGGACAAGGAGAUUGGAAAUAGGUUCCAGUCCCGGGCUUUUGUGUCCGUCACUCCAACUCCUAACAUGAAGGAGGUCCUCACAACUAUUCUCCAACAAGUAGGAGCUCAACCACUUACCGACAGUGAAGCAAGGACGGAGGAACAAAUCAUCCAGGCCAUAUCGAAUUUCCUGGAGGACCAAAGGUACCUAGUAAUAGUUGAUGACAUAUGGCAUCGUGAAGAAUGGGACAUCAUCAGGAGGUCUUUUCCAGAAAAUAAUCUUGGCAGUAGAAUCGUCAUCACAACUCGUAUUGCUUCUCUACCAGGAGAUGAUUUGGAUAAUAGCAAGCUCUACAUCAGAAUGAAUCCUAGAUGGAGUUCUGAAAAGGAAAGAUGGUUUUACAGAUAUUAUGAGGAAGAUGAUGCCGCUGCUCGGAUGAAGCCUGACAUGGUUGGACAAGGUUUUGACUGUGACCAUCCUAUUGUGCGCAUGUGUGGUUGUCUGCCGUUAGCGCUACUUUGCAUGUUUUCAGCAAUGGCAAUGGUCCGGGAGCAACAAGAACAACUAGGGGUACAUGUAAAGGCAUGUGAUAUGCAAGAUAUGAUUGAGAAGCAACUUAAGCAAAGUGGAAUUCAGAACACUCCAGGGUUCGAACCGUUGGUACAGAGCUUGCAGCUUGGCUAUGAUGAUCUUCCUCACCAUAUGUUGAAGACCUGCUUGUUGUACUGUAGUGUAUACCCUGAGAAUUACCCUUUUCACAUGAAUGAUUUGGUCAUGAGAUGGGUCGCUGAAGGAUUUAUUUAUAAAGAGGAUACAGGGAAAGGUUAUCUCGAAGAGCUUAGCAACAGGGGAUUUAUGUUUCGUCUGAAGGAUUCAUGGGGCAUGCCCUACUACCAAAUGAACCCGAUGAUGCGGAAUUUCCUUAGAUGGAAAUCACGUGAAGAUAAUUUCAUUAGUUGCAGUUCCGACAUCACACUGCCAUAUGCAUGUCGCAUCCAUCGGCUAUGUAUUGACGAUUAUCUAGUUGAUGGCGGUGAGGUGCAGGUGGUGGAUACCUUGUUGGAACUGGAUUGGUCCCAGAUUCGAUCUCUUGUUGUUUUUGAAGGUGCUAAGAGAUGUGUCCCUUUUGAGAGAUUGGAACGUGUGCGCGUGCUGGAUCUUCAAUAUCACCAUCAAUAUCUUGAUUUUGAAAAGUUACGUUUGAGUUCUUUUGUGGAUUUUGUAUUCAAUGCCCUUGGAAAUCAGCAUGUGAAGGAUAUAUGUGGGCUGCUCUCUAUGAGGCACAUAUUCGGCCUAGAAGGGACAGGAAUCAGUGAGAUACCACCGGAAAUAGCGAGGCUGCAUCAUCUGGAGACUUUGCAGAUAAGAUUUACAUGGAUCACAGAGUUACCCUGUGAGAUUGGAGACCUACAACAGUUGAAGACUCUGGUCGUGAGUUGCAACGCUGAGCUGGAAAAGCUGCCCAGGGAGAUUGGGGGCCUGCAACAUUUAGAGACUCUGGACCUGAGCUUUAGUAGGCUCACGGUGCUGCCACAUGAGAUCGGGAACCUCCAGAAUUUGAAGAAUCUGAACCUGCAUGCCACCGAACUCAAAGAGCUGCCCCAGGAGAUUGGGAAGUUGCAGCAUUUAGAGACCUUGGAGCUGAGCGGCAACAGAGGGCUCACACAGCUGCCUCGUGAGAUGGGCAAACUGCAGAAUUUGAAGCAGAUGCUCUUGUAUAGAACAGGGGUGAUGAAGAUACCAAGGGAAAUUGGAAGGCUAAAGAAUCUGGAGAUUUUGGAACUAGGUGCGACCAUCGGUGCUCUACCAUGGGAAGCUAGUCAGCUUUUGAAAUUCGAAGGAGUGCCGGAGUGCUUUCGCCAAGCCUGGAAAAAUAGUGAUCUUGUGUCUGAGCUAGCUGGGGAGAUCCUGUCCAUUCAAAUGAUUGCUUGGGACGGUGAUAGGGGUGGCAUAAUCAUUGGCAGAAAACACAUGAGAAUUCCAUGGUGGAUCAAGGAUCACUUCAACGACCUUGGUUCCUUGGAUAUCAGGAUAUGCAAACUGGAGGAGCGGGAUCUCAAGAUUCUGCGGGAGAUGCCUAACCUGGAUGACCUCAUGCUAAGGCUGGAGGUCGUCCUGAGAGAUCCCAUAGCCAUCAGCGGUGAAGGGUUCCCAAGGCUCAGGAAACUGGUUGUUGACUGCCGCGUGCCACGAGUUGUCACCUUUCAGGAAGGAGCGAUGCCCUUGGUGAGACAUCUCUACUUGGAGUUCCAGUUCUACGGUGGCCCACCUCCACCUGCAAAUAAGGACCCUCAACUGGGUAUCAAACACCUCCGGAGCCUCUACCGGGUCGAAUUUAAAUGCAGCGGGAAAUGGUAUGAACGAGCAGCAGAGAGGAGCCCGUGCAUGAGUGCCAUGAUUGACGUGGUGAGGAAAGAAGCCCAGGAGCAUCCCAACGAGAUCCUCUUUCGUGUUACUGGCCGCCAAUAUGAGGAAUUUCUAGCGAACAAGAGUGCACAGGCUUCCAGCAGUGGGACAAGCAAGAUCGACGGCACUCCAAAUAGUGGGAGGGGCGAGAUCCAGGAGGAGGAACAGACUUUUCCAGCGAUCAAGGAGAGGGCAGAGGCUUCCAGCAGAGGGACGACUGGCGAGAUGCAGGGGCAGGAGGAGGAGAUUCAGGAAGAAGCGUGA
rnacentral:rRNA from 1 species